GUGGGUGGGCUCGGCUGUGCUCCCGGGGCCUGGGACAUGCCGUCCUCGGCUCCUGCUGGGGGUUGGGAGGGGGAGAAGGUCCUCAGGGGCCCGGGAUCUAGAGGUCCAGCCUCCCAGCAGGCCUUUGGGGCAUCGCCAUUGAUUGAGCUGGGACUCGGAGCAGCCCAGGAAGACACUGGGCCCCUGACCCCGCUCCCUGGCAGUCUCCUGGCAGCACACGUCCCUCCAUCCCUUAUUCCUAUUCCUACGAAAAACGCUGUCUCUUCUGCUCCCCUAGCAACAGAAAACCACCCUCACCAGGUCUCUAAGUAAAAGGGUCCCUAUCAUGGUCACCUAGCAACAGAGGAACCUGCCUCCCCGUCCCUAGGUAACCAGGGCGCUCUGUGGUUACCUAGCAACAAAGCCCCCUCCCCACCGCACUAGGUAACAAAGUCUGUCCUCCGAGCACCUAGCAAUAGAGAAUCCUCCUCCCCUGUCUCUAGGUGAUAGGGUCCCCUCUGGUCUCCUAGCAACAGAAGACUCCCCUUCCCCGGUCAUGUAGCAGCGAGGCUCUCUGCUCUUGUCACCUGGCAACGGGGCCCCCUCCCCAGUCACUAAGCAACAGGAGUUCCUCUUCCUAUCACCCAGCAACCAGGCCCCCUCCCCGGACACCAAGGAAUGGAGCCCUUCGCCGACCCGCACCCCAGCCACGGCGCUCGCCCUUUGCCUGGCAACGCCCCUCACCCCGCCUGCCUCUCCGCUCCACCGAGCCAGGGGUUUCCGCAUCCCCUUCCUGGGCGGCGGCUCUGGGCUCCGAGUGCGGGGCGGGCAACACCGCGCUGACUGGGCAGGCGGGACGGACUACAGCUCCCGGUGAUCCCCGCGCGCCGGACUACGACUCCCGUGGGGCCCCGCGGGACUCCUGCUCCACACGGAACGCCCGGGCCGCGUGGCCCUGAAGUCGGCCGUCGGGCCUAGGAAAUGCCGCACUACAACUUCCGUCGGGCUCCGCGGCAGGUCCCGGAAGUGCGCCUCAGAGGCCCUUCUUUCGCAUACGGCCGCGCCCACUACUGCUCAGAGAUUCUAGGAAACUUAGUAGAAUGCCUGCUGAGCAGCCUCGUGGGGGAUGGUUGAGGCUGGGUUUGAAUCCUGGCUUUGCUGCUGACCAGCCUGAACUCCCUGGUGGCCUCGGGCAAGUGUCCUCACCUCUCUGAGCCCACUUUCCUCCCAGGUUAUUUUUUGAGAGCUGCUAUGUGUCAAGUGUCAUACUGGGCUCUGGGGAUCCAGCUGUGGACAAGACAGACAAAGCCCUGUCUUCCUAGAUCCUGGCCUCAGAGAAGAAGAGAGACACUAAACAAAACAAUUAUGCCAACAAUCAUUUAACCAGCAAAGGUGUACACAGAUCGUGGAGGCUGCCCUGGUUGCAGGGGGAGGCAGGCCUGGGGCCCCUCCAAGGCCUGAUUUGAAACACCCUAGACCAGAUCACCUCUGAAGUUGUGAGUGUCAUCACCCUCAUGGCCCUGACACAGAGUAGGAUGGGCAAGGUGGGGAUUGGUUCUUGACGCAGGUAAAUCCUCCUGCCCCCUCACCCUAACAUCUUUAGCCUGACGAAGAUGUUGACAUUUUGUCCUACAGUAGAGGACCUAGGCCUGGGGCCACCUCUGACAGCCACAUAGCUGCCCACACUUCCAAGUUCCCUGGAUCUUCAGCCCCCAUCUGCUGAGCCCACCUCCACCUAUGCUGGGCUCUGGGACAGAUCUCAAUGAUGCAGAUGUGAAUCCGGCAAAGGGACGUGGCCCCCAUCAAUGACUGCCUUCUAACCCCGAUGGGGACUUUCCUUUUAUCCUGCAACUUGGCCUGUGUAGGGGGACUUUCCACUUUGGUUGUGGUAGGUAAAUAUUACUAAAGCUGAAAAAAAUCCCACUGAGAUCUGUUGGGGUUUUUAAGAAAAUAAAUUGUGAAGAAAUUCCUUAUUAAAAAUGUAACUGUGGUAAGAAAACAAUUAAGUGAAC
rnacentral:lncRNA from 1 species